GCUAAACGCGAAGAACCUUACCCAGACUUGACAUGCACUAGACCGCUUCAGAAAUGAAGCUUCCCUUCGGGGCUGGUGCACAGGUGCUGCAUGGCUGUCGUCAGCUCGUGCCGUGAGGUGUUGGGUUAAGUCCCGCAACGAGCGCAACCCUUAUCAUUAGUUGCCAACACGUAAUGGUGGGAACUCUAAUGAGACUGCCUGGGUUAACCAGGAGGAAGGUGAGGAUGACGUCAAGUCCGCAUGGCCCUUAUGUCUGGGGCUACACACGUGCUACAAUGGUCGGUACAAAAGGCAGCGAAACCGUGAGGUGAAGCAAAUCCCGAAAGCCGGCCCAGUUCAGAUUGUAGUCUGCAACUCGACUACAUGAAGAUGGAAUUGCUAGUAAUGGCGUAUCAGAAUGACGCCGUGAAUACGUUCCCGGGUCUUGUACACACCG
rnacentral:rRNA from 1 species